GACGAAGGGGGCUAGCGUUGUUCGGAAUUACUGGGCGUAAAGCGCGUGUAGGCGGCUUGUUAAGUCGGGUGUGAAAGCCCUCAGCUCAACUGAGGAAAGUGCGCCCGAAACUGGCGCGCUUGAGUGCCGGAGAGGAUGGCGGAAUGCCCCAAGUAGAGGUGAAAUUCGUAGAUAUGGGGCGGAACACCGGUGGCGAAGGCGGCCAUCUGGACGGUAACUGGACGCUGAGACGCGAAAGCGUGGGUAGCAAACAGG
rnacentral:rRNA from 1 species